UACGAGGGGGGCAAAUGUUGUUCGGAAUUACUGGGCGUAAAGCGCACGUAGGCGGAUUUGUAAGUCAGGGGUGAAAUCCCGGGGCUCAACCUCGGAACUGCCUUUGAUACUGCAAAUCUUGAGUCCGGAAGAGGUGAGUGGAAUUCCUAGUGUAGAGGUGAAAUUCGUAGAUAUUAGGAAGAACACCAGUGGCGAAGGCGGCUCACUGGUCCGGUACUGACGCUGAGGUGCGAAAGCGUGGGGAGCAAACAGG
rnacentral:rRNA from 1 species